rnacentral:lncRNA from 1 species
UUUUCCCUUGUUUUCUUUGAGCUAUGAUAUGGAACUUCCACAAAUAAGCUUGAGAAACCAUUUUGAGUUGCUGACCACCAAACUUGAUUUCCUGCAAGGUACAAAACUGAAAUAAUAUGCUCAUUAGCCUCAAGUAUUCAGUUGUAUAUGGUUUUUAUAGUGUGAAAGCCCUCAUUCCAUAAGAAGAAGAAACUAGAUGUUAAAU